rnacentral:ncRNA from 1 species
GUGUUGUAUGAGAGGGGAGAAGGUUAGCAUUCCCCUUGACAAGGAUGGAAGAGGCCCUUGGGCCCUAACACACAUACGGUCAAGGCAUUGCCACCUACUUUGAGGAAUCUAACCAUCGU